rnacentral:lncRNA from 1 species
UCCGUUCUCUGAGGCUAGGUUUUCAUCGUCUCUUUGGAUUUGUUCCCUCUGGACCCAAGCCCCUCUCGCCGGCGUCCAGGCCGCUGCUGAAAAAUAUUUGAAUUUGACCCUAAAUCAAUCUUCGGCCAUCUACCGGAACGCCCGUUCCCAAUUCGGCCGAACAACCCCAUCCAUAAACCCAACCCUAGCAUUAUUUAAAAGUUCUCCUUAUUUUUCCACUACCGCAACCACCUAUUCUUUACCGAAUUAAAACCCUAACAAUUCAUUCACCGCCUCUUCGUCAUCAACAACAUCAUCAGGGUCGACAGAAGAAGAAAAGGCUCGUGGCCACGAGAGCCGAUCCUCGAGAGGAACAAAACCCAGAACGCAUUACGAAGACGAGCAAGCUCGCGUACUCAACGCAUCUCUUCGUCAUGUGGUUCGUACCCUCCCUCUCUCUCUUUCUUUUUGUGAAUCUGAAUUUUGCUACCCAUUUAUAAUAACAUUUCUAUGUUAUAAUUUUUGAAGGUCUUGUUGUUUUGGUUUAGGUAUUUUGAUGUCAUUUCCUGUUCUAGAUCAUUUUGAUAUCUUCAAUUUGGUUUGUGGUGCGUCAAAUUAUGGAAAAUAAUUUAGCGUCUUUUUCCCCCCACGAGUUUGAUACAGUAGCUAAAUUCUUUAUAUGUGAUAAGUAAGACAUCUGUGAAAUGAUAUACUUUUCGUAAUGUAGCUUUGUACAUGUGAUUUGUGGUAAUCAACCAAAACCAGAAUAUUAUGGUAAUUGACUCAGUCAUAUGCUGUUGGUAUUAUUUGGGGACAGUGCCGUAUUUGCCAGAAUGAGGGCAUUUGUUCGAAUACAAGAUUUACAAUUUUUGUUAGCUGACCAAUUGUUGGCUUAACAUUGAACUAGUGAAUGAUAUGAUACAGCCCACCUGCAGGUGAUUGUAGGCUUGCUGGUUUGAGUCUUAGCCAGGUAGCAGGGUUUAGGGUAGGGCUACCCCGAUGCCUGUUGGUGUAGUUGAAUUGCAGUGCGUAAAAAGUUAGAGGUUAGAUACAUCUAUGUGCUUGCAUUUGAGAUUAAAAAAAAAUUGUUUAAAGAGUUCUAGAGGUGCACAUGAUGUGGAGGCCAAAUGAUCUUAUUAUAUCUCGUGGGACUUCACGUGUCAUGUUAUCAACUAACGUAUGUGAAUCAAUAUGAUUUUGGUUGGUUGCUUUGUUAUUUUAUCGCAAGUGAGGUUGGGAUGGACAGAAGCUGCAAUGAUUGCGGGUGCGAGGGAGGUUGGCGUUUCUCCUUCUAUUGUUGGAUCUUUUCCUCAGAAAGAAGCUGCACUUGUUGAGGUAUUAAUUGUCUUUGUGAUUUAUUACUUUAGAACUCUAUGCUUUGAGGUGAAAAGUUGUUUACAUAAAGUAAUUGAAAAGUUAUCAACUCAUUUAAAAGUUUAUGUUAUUAUAUAGAGGCCCAACAAUGUGUAUAAAGUUAACACCCCCCUCACGUGUAUACAUGGAGAGACAAAUUCAAUGCAUAUGCAUCAUCAAUAUCAAUAUAAAGGAUAACACGCAACAUUUCAUGUGACACUGUUUUCUGUGACAAUACGCAACAUUUCAUUUGAUGUCUCUUUGGAUUUGUUCAUGCUAUUAUACUAAUUUAGGGUCAGAUUUUUAGUUUUUCUUCUCUAUUAACUGAAGGAGUUGCUUGUUAGUAUUAUCAACUUAUUAAUCUUGUGAAUUAUGUUUAAACUUUUCUUUAUGUGACACUGUUUUCUGUGAAUAUAUAGGCAAAGUUCUGUCUUUCUAGUGUAGUUUGCAAGGAGGAGUUAUCAUACAGUUUUCAUGUUCCCCUUUUGUUGUGCUACUACUUAGCUACUGCUACAGUAGCUGACAUGUGAACAACUAAGCUAUUUGGGACAGGUAUGUGUUACAACUAAGCUAUUACUCAGUUUUAUUAUAAUGCCAUGUCUAUCCUUCUGGAUUCUUCAAUCUUAUGUUGUGUAUCAUUUUCAGAAUCCUAGUAAGAGCAGAAUCUACCAAAUAAGGAACAUUACUGGUUAAUUUGAUGGGAAAUUCGUACAAAGAUUUAAGAUUUAUUAACAAUUUAAGAUUGUUUACAGCUUGUACCAGGCAAGUUCUUCAUGAGUGUGAAAAGAAGGAUUAACACUAUUUCAGUUAGUCUGAACAACAGUCAAUUCCAGAGGUCAGUUGUUUAAUAAUUUUGUCCCUGCUUUGGGGGAUUGUUAUAGGAGUUUAGUGAUAUUGAUUUAAUGUGUUGCUACUCCAUCUUCUGAAGAAAAUAAUGUGCUCUUUAAGAGAAAUCCAUUCAUAUCAUUUUAUUUAUUUACCUUUAUUUAUUCACCUAUAAUCUGUUGAGAUCUAGAGAUUUGUGAAAAUGGUCUUACAUGUCCCUUUUUUACUUCUUUUAGUAGUUGUCUUUCUAAGUUAGUCUUUCCAUUCUUGUGACGCCCCCAAAAUAGGUAUACAUUACCUAUUCUGAGUCACCAAAUACAUGGUACAAAAUACAAAUACAAUCUUUAAAAUACAACAAGAGAGCUGUGAGUUUAAAUCUACUAUCUUUUAUGAUUUAAAAAGUUUUUCAUCACUUUUAUCGCUGAGACUCAGCUUAAUAAAUAAUCCACAUCAUCGAAUCACCCCUGCACUACGGCCAAGGAUAUUCUUUAGUAUCACGACCACAA